UUCUACUUAAAUGGUUUCACAUAAACAAUGCUGAUAAUUAAAUUGUGAAAUGUUAUUGACAAAACACAAAGAAUUAUGGCUCAGAGUGAUGUAGAGUUGUGCAUGUGUGUGUGUGUGUGUGUGUGUGUGUGUGUGUGUGUGUGUUAUCAUCAAAUCAAACCGUUCAAUUACUAAAUCAUCAUCAUCACAGCUGUUUUCAUCAAUACAGUUAUGAUUUUGAAUGUAAAUUCCCUCUCAGUCAUCUCUACUGGCAGAUAGAGAAUCAUUAGUUUCGUUUGUAUCUCAUAACACAUCCUCUUAUUCUAAUGACUGUCUCAACACAAACAUAAAACCCUGCACACUGGCGACACCUUACAUUUUACUAAGAUGGGUUUUAGAGAUUU